UUCUGUCUUUAUUUUUUUUGAAGAAUGACAUCCAAGAUGUGCUGCCAUUCCUCCUGUUUUAGCUGCUUUUCUUGAAUACAGCCCCAAAAAUCCAGCUGUUCACCAGCACUUCUUCUCCAAAGAAAAAUACACACAAAGAAAUCAUAUAAGAAUCGUGUAGAUUAAAUACUUAGUGAGACUAUUCACUAAACUCGGAACUGUAGUGAAUAGGAAUCUGGAUUACAAAACUGGGGCAAAAAUGGCCAACUUGUGAC